rnacentral:rRNA from 1 species
UACAGAGGGUGCGAGCGUUGUCCGGAAUCACUGGGCGUAAAGGGCGCGUAGGUGGUGGCUUAAGCGUGCGGUGAAAGCUCGGGGCUCAACCCCGAGUCGGCCGUGCGAACUGGGCUCACUGGAGCAUAGUAGAGGCAGGUGGAAUUCCGGGUGUAGCGGUGGAAUGCGUAGAGAUCCGGAGGAAGACCGGUGGCGAAGGCGGUCUGCUGGGCAGUUUCUGACACUGAGGAGCGAAAGCGUGGGGAGCGAACAGG